GAUGAACGCUGGCGGCGUGCCUAAUACAUGCAAGUCGAGCGAACGGACGAGAAGCUUGCUUCUCUGAUGUUAGCGGCGGACGGGUGAGUAACACGUGGAUAACCUACCUAUAAGACUGGGAUAACUUCGGGAAACCGGAGCUAAUACCGGAUAAUAUUUUGAACCGCAUGGUUCAAAAGUGAAAGACGGUCUUGCUGUCACUUAUAGAUUGAUCCGCGCUGCAUUAGCUAGUUGGUAAGGUAACGGCUUACCAAGGCAACGAUGCAUAGCCGACCUGAGAGGGUGAACGGCCACACUGGAACUGAGACACGGUCCAGACUCCUACGGGAGGCAGCAGUAGGGAAUCUUCCGCAAUGGGCGAAAGCCUGACGGAGCAACGCCGCGUGAGUGAUGAAGGUCUUCGGAUCGUAGAACUCUGUAAUUAGGGAAGAACAAAUGUGUAAGUAACUGUGCACAUCUUGACGGUACCUAAUCAGAAAGCCACGGCUAACUACGUG
rnacentral:rRNA from 1 species